rnacentral:rRNA from 1 species
UACGAAGGGGGCUAGCGUUGUUCGGAUUUACUGGGCGUAAAGCGCACGUAGGCGGAUUGUUAAGUGAGGGGUGAAAUCCUGGAGCUCAACUCCAGAACUGCCUUUCAUACUGGCAAUCUAGAGUCCGGAAGAGGUAAGUGGAACUCCUAGUGUAGAGGUGGAAUUCGUAGAUAUUAGGAAGAACACCAGUGGCGAAGGCGGCUUACUGGUCCGGUACUGACGCUGAGGUGCGAAAGCGUGGGGAGCAAACAG